rnacentral:rRNA from 1 species
UACGGAAGGCAGCAGUGGGGAAUAUUGCACAAUGGGCGCAAGCCUGAUGCAGCCAUGCCGCGUGUAUGAAAAAGGCCUUCGGGUUGUAAAGUACUUUCAGUCGUGAGGAAGGUGUUAAGGUUAAUAACCUUAGCAGUUGACGUUAGCGACAGAAGAAGCACCGGCUAACUCCGUGCCAGCAGCCGCGGUAAUACGGAGGGUGCGAGCGUUAAUCGGAAUUACUGGGCGUAAAGGGCACGCAGGCGGUUAAUUAAGUUGGAUGUGAAAUCCCCGGGCUUAACCUGGGAAUGGCAUUCAAGACUGGUUAGCUAGAGUCUUGUAGAGGGGGUAGAAUUCCAUGUGUAGCGGUGAAAUGCGUAGAGAUGUGGAGGAAUACCGGUGGCGAAGGCGGCCCCUGGCAAAGACUGACGCUCAUGUGCGAAAGCGUGGGGAGCAAACAGGGAUUAGAUACC